rnacentral:rRNA from 1 species
GACGAACGCUGGCGGCGUGCUUAACACAUGCAAGUCGAACGGAAAGGCCCUGCUUUUGUGGGGUGCUCGAGUGGCGAACGGGUGAGUAACACGUGAGUAACCUGCCCUUGACUUUGGGAUAACUUCAGGAAACUGGGGCUAAUACCGGAUAGGAGCUCCUGCUGCAUGGUGGGGGUUGGAAAGUUUCGGCGGUUGGGGAUGGACUCGCGGCUUAUCAGCUUGUUGGUGGGGUAGUGGCUUACCAAGGCUUUGACGGGUAGCCGGCCUGAGAGGGUGACCGGCCACAUUGGGACUGAGAUACGGCCCAGACUCCUACGGGAGACAGCAGUGGGGACUAUUGCCCAAUGGGCGGAAGCCUGAUGCAGCAACGCCGCGUGCGGGAUGACGGCCUUCGGGUUGUAAACCGCUUUCGCCUGUGACGCAGCGUGAGUGACGGUCAUGGGUACAGAAGCACCGGCUCCCUACGUG